CACGUAGGGGGCAAGCGUUGUCCGGAUUUAUUGGGCGUAAAGAGCUCGUAGGUGGCUGAGUAAGUCGGGUGUUAAAUCUCCAGGCUCAACCUGGAACACCACUCGAUACUGCUCUGGCUAGAGUCCGGUAGGGGAGCGUGGAAUUCCUGGUGUAGCGGUGAAAUGCGCAGAUAUCAGGAGGAACACCAGCGGCGAAGGCGGCGCUCUGGGCCGGCACUGACACUGAGGAGCGAAAGCAUGGGUAGCAAAC
rnacentral:rRNA from 1 species